GUGCUCACUUUGGCAGCAUGUACACUAUAACUGGAACGAUACAGAGAAGAUUAGCAGGGCCCCUGUGCAAGAAUGACUCGCAAAAUUGUGAAACAUUCAAUAUUUAA